AGCAGCCGCGGUAAUUCCAGCUCCAAUAGCGUAUAUUAAAGUUGUUGCAGUUAAAAAGCUCGUAGUUGAACCUUGGGUCUGGCUGCUCGGUCCGCCUAACCGCGUGCACUGAUGCGGCCGGAUCUUUCCUUCUGGCUAACCUCAUGCCCUUCACUGGGUGUGCUGGGGAUCCAGGACUUUUACUUUGAAAAAAUUAGAGUGUUCAAAGCAGGCCUACGCUCGAAUACAUUAGCAUGGAAUAACGAAAUAGGACGUGCGGUUCUAUUUUGUUGGUUUCUAGAGUCGCCGUAAUGAUUAAUAGGGAUAGUUGGGGGCAUUAGUAUUCAGUUGCUAGAGGUGAAAUUCUUGGAUUUACUGAAGGCUAACUACUGCGAAAGCAUUUGCCAAGGAUGUUUUCAUUAAUCAAGAACGAAAGUUAGGGGAUCGAAGACGAUCAGAUACCGUCGUAGUCUUAACCAUAAACUAUGCCGACUAGGGAUCGGAUGAUGUUAAUUUUUUAAUGACUCA
rnacentral:rRNA from 1 species